CUGCCAAAGGAUGUGUACAGCACAGCUCUGUAUGGCACAGCAGAGCUCUGUGCCUACUCAGCAAACAGGAGGGUCGGUCUCAGCAUGUACCGCGGGUAUCUCGUCCUCACUGCCUUCCUGGGGCAACUGCUGGAAACCAUGGGUCAGGUGUCUGUCACCCAGCAAGAAGGACAAGUCACCGUGGAGCAGAGAAACAUCUUCCAGACCACUUGCACGUACCAGAGCUCCAGCUUUUAUGGUUUGCUCUGGUACCAGCAGAAGAAGGGCCAAGGCCCUCAGCUAAUUUCAAAUCAAGCAAUAGCAGGCACCAAGCAGAGCGUCCGUUUCACCACAGAGCUGAACAUCAUGAGGAAAUACAGUGUUCUGCAGCUGAAAGAAGUUGAGCUCUCUGACAGCGCCUUGUACCUCUGUGCUGUGCGUGACACCCUGGUGCAGAGAGGUACCCUGGUUGAGCAAUAACCCUGAGAAGGGAGGGGAUGUGUCUGUGCAAGGCAGAGCUCUGGGGUGGGGCCCUCAGUUCUCCCCUGGCAGCGCUCUUCCCCUGUUCACCCCAAUAUCUGCCAGCCAUAUUCUCUUUCCCAAAGGGGCUGGUGUCUGUGGCUGUGCAGAGAGUGCUGACCCUGACUGCCUGACCUGGACCUCAGUUUUUCUCCCUUCCUGGGCUCCCAGAGUAGAGCAGUCUGCUGGGAACCAGGACUUACACAGUGGUUGCUCUCAGACCUUCAGGACCAGGGUGAAUAAAUUCCUGCCAGUGCAUGAUAAAGCAGCUUACCUCAAGUCCUAGCUAGCCCAGCCCAGAGACCCCUAGUAGACGUUCUGACAGAGAUUUGCAGGGUUCUUUUCUCUCUUCAAUGAGUCAGUAAAUGAACUGGAUUUGCGUCCCAGCCACCAGGUUAUCUCCAGACCUUCAGCCAGUUCAUGUCCAAAGCCUGUGCCUAAGGGACAGAACAAACAGAGCAGCCCUUAGUGCCAAAGGCCCAAGAGCUCUCCAUGUUCAUCACAGUAAGCGAUUAGAGCAAGAGAUAAAUGAAGACCUACAGCCCACUGAGUUCAUUGACGUCUCCUCAGGGGAGCUGGGGAAAUCUAUCAUCCACAUCUCCUGCACAGGGAGCAGUAUCGUAGCAACCAUCUCCCACAGUAGUGGGGGAUUGCAUGUCUGGGACAAGCCAGGUGUCCUGCAGGCUGCAAAUGCUGAGACCGGGCAGGAGAAACAUGGCUGUGCUGAUGAAGCCUCCUCUGUCUCACAAACCAUGCUGAAUGUGGUGUUUUGAUGUCCUCAGACUCAAUGAAACUCUUCUGUCUGCUUGCAAGAGCAAGAAGCAAAGCAACCCAGAGGAAGAAAAGUUCAGCCCAGGCAGCUCCCAGCAGGUGGCAUCCAUGAGCUCUCUUCUCCUCUGUGCUCUCAGGGAAGGCAGCGCAAGACUCAGCCUUGGUCGAGGCCUGAGGAGAGGUUCCCCCAUCCUCACCCCGUGGACCAAUAACCCCAUCCUCCAUCCUGUUCCUGUGGCACUGGCAGCGUGAACAGUCUGUGUGAAAGCAAAGCACCACAGGGCUCCGAGGUGUGCAGAUGUGGGAAGGCCCUGGCCUGGGUGUGGGGAGCAGAGGUGCUGCAUGGAGCACAAGGGCAACUUCAUCCUCACAAAGACAGAGUAGCUUAGUGCUCAGGAGAAGCAUGUGCCCUGUGGUUGGGCUGGUGCAUGCCCUGUGCCGUUCAGAGCCUGUACACAGAGCCUGCUGAGUGCACAGUCAGGUCCCAUUCUCACUGCUAUGUCUCAGUGGUGCCUGGGAUUUUUGCACUCACAGAAUGUCUUUUCUGGAGCACAGUGUGGUUGUGGCACCUAUGGGGCCUUUGAGUUUCUUGGCCUGAUGAAAGCUGAUCCAUGCUUGGGGAAAGAAAGCAAGACCGAACAGCCAUGAGUGUUUGGGCAC